rnacentral:rRNA from 1 species
GACGAACGCUGGCGGCGUGCCUAAUACAUGCAAGUCGAACGCUUUGAUUUUCACCGGAGCUUGCUCCACCGAAAAUCAAAGAGUGGCGGACGGGUGAGUAACACGUGGGCAACCUGCCCAACAGAGGGGGAUAACACUUGGAAACAGGUGCUAAUACCGCAUAAUUUGUUUUUCCGCAUGGAAGAAUAAUAAAAGACGCUUCGGUGUCACUGUUGGAUGGGCCCGCGCUGCACUAGUUAGUUGGUGGGGUAACGGCCUACCAAGACCAUGAUGCAUAGCCGACCUGAGAGGGUGAUCGGCCACACUGGGACUGAGACACGGCCCAGACUCCUACGGGAGGCAGCAGUAGGGAAUCUUCGGCAAUGGACGAAAGUCUGACCGAGCAACGCCGCGUGAGUGAAGAAGGUUUUCGGAUCGUAAAACUCUGUUGUUAGAGAAGAACAAGUGAGAGAGUUACUGUUCUCACCUUGACGGUAUCUAACCAGAAAGCCACGGCUAACUACGUGCCAGCAGCCGCGGUAAUACGUAGGUGGCAAGCGUUGUCCGGAUUUAUUGGGCGUAAAGCGAGCGCAGGCGGUUUCUUAAGUCUGAUGUGAAAGCCCUCGGCUCAACCGAGGAGGGUCAUUGGAAACUGGGGAACUUGAGUGCAGAAGAGGAGAGUGGAAUUCCAUGUGUAGCGGUGAAAUGCGUAGAUAUAUGGAGGAACACCAGUGGCGAAGGCGACUCUCUGGUCUGUAACUGACGCUGAGGCUCGAAAGCGUGGGGAGCAAACAGG